rnacentral:lncRNA from 1 species
UGGGGAGAUGUACAUGUAUAUCUUUUAGCAUGCUUGUGAUAAGAUAAGGAACAUAUAUACCAUAUAACACAUAUGUUGUGGGGAGAUGUACAUGUAUGCCAUCCUACGUAUACACAUAUGGGGAGAUCUACUUGUAUGUCAUCUUGCAUAUGUUUGGAGAUGUACAUGUAUGCAAUCCGACACAUGGGUAGAUAUACAUGUAUGAUGUCAUCUUACAUAGGUGGAGAGAUGUUCAUGAAUGGGAUCAUUUUAUGCAUAUGGUGUGAGGAGAUGUACAUGUAUGUCAUCUUACACAUGUUGGGAGAUGAACUUGUAUGUCAUUCAGGAGCCUGUAAUUCAGUGGUUGUCGUUUGUUUAUGUGUUACAUAUUUGUUUUUCGUUCAUUUUUUUUUUUUUUUUACAUAAAUAAGGCUGUUAGUUUU